CAAUUAAAGAGUGAAGAUAAAAAAGAAAGAAAGUGGUAGGUAUACACAUAUACACACACAUACACAGCUCAAACUUCCAGGCAUUGUCCAUGAGUUCAUGAUGCAUUACAAGGAGAGGUGACUCUUUCUGCUUUCCUUUCUGUUGCUGUCAGACAGUACUAGGUUAUCGAAUAUUGGCUAUUUGGAUUUUGGAGGCUCAGUGGAGCGGCUGAGUGUUAGGUCCUUUAUAUGCUGACUUCACAGAUCUAUGAAUAUUCCUUUUCAACAGGAAUGCUGCAAGAGAAAUGGUGUCUUUUCAGUUUCUUAAUAUAUAUUCAAACAUCACUUUAUCCAAAUCUUGAGCCAAUAAAGACACACACACAUAAUGCAGAGAGUAAGAGAGAGAAAUUAAUAUUUGGAUUUUAGUUCGCCAUCUCAUGUUUCUCUUGUCAUUGUAUUGUAACAGAUGUUCAGCUUCUGUUAUUCAGAUCCACCCAUCAUACUUAAUCAUCUAUCAAAUCCUAUAACGCUUAUAUGCACUUUUACCAGAAGAUAUACAUAUAUAUAUAUAUAUAAAGGUCUUCAGCCUUCAGUUUUGGUGGUGCCAAAUUAUACCAUGGUAGGUGUAUAGUGAGAGGAUUUUGAAUUGUUACCUUGAUAAACUAGUGCUUUUAAUUACUGAUUUUGUAGUUUUAUCGGAUGGGGGGUGGGGUUCUCGUGUUUAAAAUUAUGUCCUUGUUACGACAUUUAAUAUUAUAUGCUGGGAUUAGUGAAAUAUAUUAUAAAUAUGGACAUUCUUCCAAGUGGCUUGCAUAUGAGGAUCACUGAAAAUUGAAGCUGGCUUGGAACUUGGUUAUGUACAACCACGGACUUUGUCUUAGAUUCAUGUCAAAGUUUUGGCUUUAGCAUGCACAAAAAUCACUACAAUAUGAAGGGUUCAACCCUUGGUGAGUUAUCUCAACAGCAGAGAUAUUUCACCCCAUAGAUCCAUUACUAUUUACCCCUCUUGUUUUAUACAUUAUUGGUCAAAGAUCUAAGUAGUAGAAGGUUUUUUAUUUUGCAGAAUAAUAUAUUGUUGAAUAUUUAUGACAGUGAUAAUUCAGUCUA